rnacentral:rRNA from 1 species
GCCCAUCUUUCGGGGUGGUGCCCUAGCGGCGAACGGGUGAGUAACACGUGGGCAACCUGCCCUCAGCUCUGGGAUAACUCCAAGAAAUUGGUGCUAAUACCGGAUGUGACCGCUGACCGCAUGGUCUGGUGGUGGAAAGAUUCAUCGGCUGAGGAUGGGCCCGCGGCCUAUCAGCUUGUUGGUGGGGUGAUGGCCUACCAAGGCGACGACGGGUAGCCGGCCUGAGAGGGUGACCGGCCACACUGGGACUGAGACACGGCCCAGACUCCUACGGGAGGCAGCAGUGGGGAAUAUUGCGCAAUGGGCGAAAGCCUGACGCAGCGACGCCGCGUGGGGGAUGACGGCCUUCGGGUUGUAAACCUCUUUCAGUAGGGACGAAGCGGAAGUGACGGUACCUACAGAAGAAGCACCGGCCAACUACGUGCCAGCAGCCGCGGUAAUACGUAGGGUGCAAGCGUUGUCCGGAAUUAUUGGGCGUAAAGAGCUCGUAGGCGGUCUGUCGCGUCGGCUGUGAAAACCCGAGGCUCAACCUCGGGCCUGCAGUCGAUACGGGCAAACUAGAGUGUUGCAGGGGAGACUGGAAUUCCUGGUGUAGCGGUGAAAUGCGCAGAUAUCAGGAGGAACACCGGUGGCGAAGGCGGGUCUCUGGGCAACAACUGA